rnacentral:rRNA from 1 species
AACGAACGCUGGCGGCAGGCCUAACACAUGCAAGUCGAGCGCUCACCUUCGGGUGGGAGCGGCGCACGGGUGAGUAACACGUGGGAACCUACCUGGAGGUACGGAAUAACUGUGGGAAACUUCAGCUAAUACAGUAGACGCCCUACGGGGGAAAGACUUAUUGCUUCCAGACGGGCCCGCGUUGUAUUAGCUAGUUGGUGAGGGAAUGACUCACCAAGGCAACGAUCCAUAGCUGAUUUGAGAGAAUAAUCAGCAACACUGGGACUGAGACACGACCCAGACUGCUACGGGAGGCAGCAGUGGGGAAUAUUGGACAAUGGGCGCAAGCCUGAUCCAGCCAUGCCGCGUGAGUGAUGCAGGCCUUCGGGUUGUAAAGCUCUUUCAGAUGGGACGAUGAUGACGGUACCAUCAGAAGAAGCCCCGGCUAACUUCGUGCCAGCCGCCGCUGUAACAC